rnacentral:rRNA from 1 species
UGCAGAGGUCUCAAGCGUUGUUCGGAUUCAUUGGGCGUAAAGGGUGCGUAGGCGGCGCGGUAAGUCGGGUGUGAAAUCUCGGAGCUUAACUCCGAAACUGCAUUCGAUACUGCCGUGCUUGAGGACUGGAGAGGAGACUGGAAUUUACGGUGUAGCGGUGAAAUGCGUAGAGAUGUGGAGGAACACCAGUGGCGAAGGCGACUCUUUGGCCUGUAACUGACGCUGAGGCGCGAAAGCGUGGGGAGCAAACAGG